UACGUAGGGUGCAAGCGUUAAUCGGAAUUACUGGGCGUAAAGCGUGCGCAGGCGGCUUUGCAAGACAGAUGUGAAAUCCCCGGGCUUAACCUGGGAACUGCAUUUGUGACUGCAUGGCUGGAGUGCGGCAGAGGGGGAUGGAAUUCCGCGUGUAGCAGUGAAAUGCGUAGAUAUGCGGAGGAACACCGAUGGCGAAGGCAGUCCCCUGGGCCUGCACUGACGCUCAUGCACGAAAGC
rnacentral:rRNA from 1 species